rnacentral:tRNA from 1 species
UUUCAUAAAAAAAAAAAAUUUUUUUCUUAAAAAUAAGCUAAACAAAGCUUUGGGG